rnacentral:rRNA from 1 species
GCCGGCGACCAUACCACGUUCUCGUCCGAUCACCGCAGUUAAGCAACGUUGGGCCCGGUCAGUACAUGCAUGGGUGACCGGCUGGGAAUACCGGGUGUCGCCGGCU